GCCGGAGAGGUCAGUGCGGAAUGAGGGGUCCGGCGGGGAAGGGGGGGGGGGGGCCACCUGUAUGGAGAAUAAACAAGGGAGACCUAUAAUCCAUUGUCCUGUGUCACCCCCCAUGGACCACGCGGAGGUGGAGGAGAGUCCCGGGAGCGGGAGAGGUCGGUGGGGAACGGGAGGGUCCGGCGGGGAGGCGGGAGGGUGCACCUGCACCGAGAAUAAAGAGGCGACACCAGUUAUCCUGUGACACCUCCCGGAGACCCCUGGACCCCCUGGGAGUCACCUCCACCUCUGAGGGGCUGCGGGGGUCGCUGUGGGGCGGGAGAGGCUUCAGCCUGGGGCUCUGCGAGGGUCGGGGGCAGCCCGAGCAGAAGAUGGCUUGGCCCCUUCUUGAGGCGGUGGGAGCCACUUGGGGGGAAAAGGGGGCUCAGGGCGGGCCCAUCAGAGGAAAGCUUUUGGUUUAGGCUGUUUUAACAGAUAACUGUACUAAAAUGUUCUUUCCUACGAUACAGAAAAAAUAAAUUUUAAUUAAAAGCAAGUGUCUGCAGUAGAAAUUUGGGAUCAGGCAUUCGACAUAUGGGCAAGAUAAGUAUUUAAAUUGAAUCAGCUGUUUUAAUACAUACACUUCGCAAUCUAUAGACCGAGGGCUACUCAGAUACCUAAUAAAUAAAUUCAAAACUAUUAUUUGUUGAAAGUAUCUGGAUGGGACUUGUCCUGGUUUCAGCUGGAUAGAGUUAAUUUCUUCUCAGUCACUGUUACAGUGCUGUGUUUUGGAUUUGGAAUGAUGACACACUCAUGGUUUGGUUUUUUGCUAAGUUGUUAAGGCUUAUUUUAUUUUAUUUUAUUUUAUUUUAUUGUAUUUUUUUCUCAUGCUCUGCCAGGGAGGAGGGUCACAAAAGAAACUGGGAGGGAGUACAGCUGGGACAGGUGACCCAAACUGACCAAAGGGAUAAUUUAGAACAUCAUGGCCAGUGUAUGAACUGGGGGAAGUUACCCCUAAGGAGCCAAUCUGGGUUCGGGAAAGGGGGUCUGGCAUCGGUCAGGUCCACAGGUGGUGAGCUACUGCAUUGUGCAUCACUUGGGGGUUUUUCCCCCCCUUAUUUUUAAUUAUUAUUAUUUACCAUUAUUACUGUGGUUUACUUUAUUUUCAAUUGUUAACCUGUUCUUAUCUCCACAUACAAGUUUUACUUAGAUUCUCCUCCCCUUUCCACCACGAUGGGGAGAAAGGGGGGGGUGGGGUGCAGGUUAAGCAAGCAGCUGUGUGGUGUUUUAAUCUCUGGGCUUAAAACCAGGACAUCUCCUGGGUACACCCCAGACUCAUCCCAGGCAUAUCCUGGAGCCUUUUCAGAGCUCUGCUGAGGAGCUGAUGUCCCAGGUAGCAGCCCCAGACCCCUCCAAGGCAGGUACCCAUGGUGAUUUUUCUCUUCUGAAGGAAAAGGUCUUAUCUGGGAUCCAGCUGGAGCCUUCUCAAGCAUUAUCUGGAGUCUUGAUCUCUGAUUUGGGGACCUGGAAUCACAGAAUCAAUUAGGUUGGAAAAGACCUCUGAGAUUGUCAUCAGUUGACCGAACACCACCAUGUCAACUGGACCAGGGCACUGAGUGCCAUGCCCAGUGUUUCCUUAAACACUUCCAGGGACGGUGACUCCACAACCCGGGGGGGGCCUCAGACUCUCCCCUGGAAGCUGCCCGAGAUGAUAUUUUGCUUUCAUGGUAAAUUGUAUCCUACUGAAUGCACCUGAGACUCAUCCCAGGCAUCUCCUGGAGUCUUUUCAUUCCUCAAGGGAGCCGAGAUCCCAGGGAGCAGCUCCAGACUCUUCCAAGGGUACCGAAGUUACCUGAGAUGAUUUUUCUUUUUUCUUGUGCAUCCUGAGUCUUUCAGGAUCUACCUGAGACUCCUCCUAGGAUUCUCCUGGAGUCUUUUGAUCUCUGAUUUUGGGACCUGAGUUGCUCACUGUGGGCCCAGAAUCUUCCAAGGAAGGUUUCCAAUAUGGUUUUUUAACUUUGGAGGUAAAUUUUUGCUCUGGAAUCCACUUGAGACUCCUCUCAGGUGCGUCCUGGAGUCUUCACAUCUCCUCAAGGAAGAUGAGUUCCCUGAAAGCACCCCCAGAUUCUUCCAGGGAAGCUUCCCAAUAUGUUUUUGCUUGUUUGGAAUUAGCUGUCUAUUCUGUGAUGCACUUGAAACUCCUCCUGACAUCUCUUGGAGUCUUUUUGUCUGUUGAUUUAGACAAUUGAUAUCCUGGGUAGAAGCUCCAAGUCAAGUUCCUGAGAUGAUUUUUCUGUUUUUUCCAGCUGGACCCUUCUCAAACAUUGCCUGGAGUCUUUGUCUCUGAUUUGGGGACCCGAAAUCCCAGAUCCUGCAUCUUCAAGAUCUACCUGAGACUCCUCCCAGGCAUCCUCCAGAGUCCUUAUCUCUGAUUUUGGAUCUGAAUUCCAGGAUAUCAGCCUGAGACUCCUCCAAGGCAGGUAGCUGAAAUGUUUUUUCUCUUUUUGUGGAACCUGAAUCUUCCAGGAUCUACCCAAGACUCUUCUGGGCAUCUCCUGCAGUCUUUUCACUUCUCCUCAAAGGAGUUGAGAUCCCAGGUAGCAGCCCCAGACUUGCAGGAAUGGUUCCUGGUGCUCCUGGAGCUCCGUGUGCUGGAGGACCAUGACAGCCUGUCCCCAUGGAGGGACCAGGCCUGGCCCUGGCUGCCCUGAAGCUUUGUUGCCUAAAAUCGGCCUCUAAAAGAAACCCCCAAGGCUCAAUUUGUGAAUUUUAGAGGCAGGCAUUCUUUAUUAGGACGUGCUGCAUGAUCACAGCACGUUGGGUGCCCUGGGAGUCAGUUCUCCCAAGUGCACACAGAGGUCUCUUCACUACAGCUUAUAUGUCAGCAUUAAAUGAUUGUUCAUUUUUUGUUCCCUGCAUUCCUGUUACGUAUUCAUGACAUGUCCCAACACAUAUUAACAUAUAUGCAUAUCCUUAUAAGGUCUUGGAGGGACUUCAUCAGGGGUCUUCGGUGGUCUUCUCUGUCUUGACCUGCAGUGUUUUGAGUGACUGCCUUAUGAAUUUCUUUAGGACAAUGCUCCUGGUUGUACAUCAACCUGGCACUGCCUGCUCGGCUGCUUCAGCUCCCUUCAUUGUUUCCUCACCUUGCUUGGCUGAUUUCUUUAAAUUGAGAUGUAGCAAUUUUCCAUGGUACAUUCUGCUGGAAAAACUGUUAGUACUUGCUACAUCUCAAAACUCAGAUAUCAGCUGCUGCUGGGGCAGCUGCGGAUGGGAGGAGGAGGGGUGGGAUGGAGGCGGCUGCCUCGGCACAGAGCUGCUGCUUCCUGAGUGAGGUGCUCUGCUCUGCUCUGCUGGACUGGGCACCCGGGGGGCUCCUGAGACACCUCACGGACAGGGUGGGGCCCAAAGGCUCACAAUGUCCCCUCGGUUCCAGGAGGCCCCGCAGUGUCACAGUGGCCCCUGGGCACCCGCAGGCCCCACAUCACACAGCCCUGGCAGUUGCCAUGGAGAUGCCAAUGCCCAGAACUGGCUGGAACUGACCCAAGCAGCCCCUUCCAGCACAGUCUGUCAUGGCAGGUCCCUUUCGGCUGCUCUGGGGCACCUUUUGCCCAUCAGGGAGUGUGUGGGGAUCCCCCUCCACAGCCUGGACAGUGGAGCAGCGACACCUCCCUGGUGCUGACACCACCCAGAAGCUGAGGGAAUGUUUGGUCCUGGGAGCUCUCUGGCUCCUCCAGGUAACCUGUGCAUGGGGACCAGCGGUGCCACCUUGGCCACACUGGGGUGAUCACCAACCGGGACAGACACCGUGGGUCAUUUGAUGUGGUUCCUCUGAAGGACCCCAGUGGCAGCAGCUUUCCCUCCAGGCUCUCCAAGCUCUUUGCUCUGGGCAAAGCCAGAAGGGGAAGGGAGCACCCAAGAACUGUAGAUGCUCAUGGUCGAAAGGAAGAAGUCAGAGCGUCUGCAAAAACUCACAAUGUUUUAUUAGCAAAUCACACACUUGGCCAUGGAAGUUGGUGUGGGAGUGCCUGACCUACUGUAUACACACAUGGCAGUGAGUUUUGGGGUAGGAAGAAAGGGAAGAGAAAAAGUGUCACAACCCAUCAGUAAGGGCAUGAUGUUCAUUGUAAAUUCUCGUCAGGCUGAACAAAGACACAAGACACAUGUCAGUGUUUGAAAUAACAUAACUUAUGUAAUUUUUAAUAGCUUUAAUUAACCUUUUGAUUACUUGCUUUAAUUAGUCAUAAAUGCUGUGUUAGGCCUUAAGUCUUUUUUAGCCAGUGUAUAGGAAAAUUGUCAGAAGCUACUUUGAUGACAAGAUAGCUUGGGAAAACUACUAAAACUCUAAGUUUUGUUAAACUAACUUUGAUAAGCUUCAAUUAACAGAGCCCAGGAGAGAAAGAUCAAUUGUUGAAAUUCAAGAUCUGGAAUGAACUAGAAGGAUAUUUUGCAGAAAGCAACAGAUAAAGAAAAAGUUAACAAAGAAUUCAGUGUAUGUGCUGGAAGGUCCCUACUGGAGGAAAAAGCUAGAAAAAUACCAAAAAAUGUGGACCUAAUUAGCAUAGAAAAUGAGAAAUUACUAACCAACAGAAGGUAGAAUACUAAGUAGUGAAAGAGAAUUAUUCAAUAAAGAACCGAUGAACAUUAAAUUCUUUUUAAAGUUAAAAAUGUAUAAAUAGGUGAAAAGGUGAUUAUUGCUGUCUGUGUGAAGGCAGGAUUUUUGUUGGCCACCCAGCGCUGUGAAUAAAGUAAUGCCUUGCUUUCUGACACUAAAAACACAGAAUCGACCAGACCAACCCAUGGGGAAGUGCUGUCUCCCUGGGGCCUGGGUAAGGGGAGUCACCAAGAAACUUCCCAUCCAGUUAUGGCCCACUGAUUGUUAUCCACUGCUGGUUUUCCAGGUGGGCAAUGACAAAUUCCCGACAAGAAUUCCGAAGGCAUUCAAGAGGGACCUCAGGGCAUUGGGGUGGCAGGUUGAGGGAUCUGGAGUUCAGGUUGUGUUCUCCUCUAUCCAGUUACUGGGCAAGAAACAUGAAAACCCUAGAGAUGAACUGGCUUUGAGACUGGUGUUACCAGUAGAAUUUUGGGAGGUUUUUGGUCAUGGUCAGUUUAUGUGACACUGAGCCUGCUGGCACAGAUGGUGUCCACUUGUCUCAAAGGGGAAAAAGGAUCUUGGCUCAGGAGUUAGCAGGGCUCCUUGGGAGAGCUGUAAACUAGAUUUGAAGGGGGAUGAAGGCAGGCUCGAUAGAGAUGAGCCUGGGGGUGGCACACCAAGGUUUGAGGGACACUGAGCUAAGCGAGGUCCACUGGUCUGAACAAUCUCAGUCUGUGAGGAGGCUCUUGACUCCCGCUAGGUGUUCUUAUGCCAACUUGGUCUUGAAUAAACUGAAGAGUCUAGUA